rnacentral:rRNA from 1 species
GGAAUUUUGCGCAAUGGGGGCAACCCUGACGCAGUGACGCCGCGUGGAGGACGAAGGUCUACGGAUCGUAAACUCCUUUUAUAUGGGAAGAAUAAAUGACGGUACCAUAUGAAUAAGUGACUGCUAACUACGUGCCAGAAGCAUCGGUGAUGCGUAGGUCACGAACGUUAUCCGGAUUAAUUGGGCGUAUAGAGAUGCGUAGGCGUUUUGGUAAGUCUUUUGUUAAAGACCCAGGCUCAACCUGGGGAGGGCAGAGGAAACUACUAGAAUUGAGAUAGGGAGGGGUCGAUGGAAUUCUCGGUGGAGUGGUGAAAUACGUUGAUAUCGAGAGGAACACCAAUGGCGAAGGCAAUCGGCUGGCCCUUAUCUGACGCUGAGGCUCGAAAGCGUGGGGAGCAAAA